rnacentral:rRNA from 1 species
CCUACGGGGGACAGCAGUGAGGAAUAUUGGUCAAUGGGCGUAAGUCUGAACCAGCCAAGCCGCGUGAGGGAUGAAGGUUCUAUGGUUCGUAAACCUCUUUUAUAAGGGAAUAAAGUGUGGGACGUGUCUCGUUUUGUAUGUACCUUAUGAAUAAGGAUCGGCUAACUCCGUGCCAGCAGCCGCGGUAAUACGGAGGAUCCGAGCGUUAUCCGGAUUUAUUGGGUUUAAAGGGUGCGUAGGCGGCCUUAUAAGUCAGCGGUGAAAGUCUGUGGCUCAACCAUGGAAAUGCCGUUGAAACUGGUGGGCUAGAGUGUGUGUGAGGCAGGCGGAAUGCAUGGUGUAGCGGUGAAAUGCUUAGAUAUCACGCAGAACACCGAUUGCGAAGGCAGCCUGCCAAGCCAUAACUGACGCUGAUGCACGAAAGCGUGGGGAGCAAACAGGAUUAGAUACCCGGGUAGUC